AUAAGAGGACGGCCUCUUAUUGAAAAAACAAACGCGGGACGGCCCGC
rnacentral:ncRNA from 1 species